UUUGACGAUAAAUACUUAUUAAAAUUCAAAUUAUUUAUUUCUGCCUUGUAAAGGUACAGACAGCAGAGGCGCAGAAAAAGCUGUCAGAUACAGAUUGACAAAGCCGCAGCCCCCUUUCGCUUGGCAGAGCCUUUACAGCGACACUUUUAAAACAAAGACAAUUGCACCCGGUAAUAACAGGUAUACAAUACUGAGCAAGUACAAAAGGAAACCAAUCAAGAUUAUACGAUAUUUGUACAAUACUCCCAAACAAGAAAACAGAACCUACAUGCUAACGUACAUAGCACCCAAAGUACUGUUCGACACGUUGAAGAGGUCAAAAUUAUUGUUCACAUAAGGUAUAUACAUAUUCGUAUAGCGCUACCAAUCCCUGCAAAAUAUAGAACGCAGAUUUUCAUUACACACACGCACGCACGCACGUACACAGCACACACACCAAAAGGAAACGGCAACGCGCUCACAGGAAGCGCCUGAAAAACGAAAAAAAAGGAAAAGUGUGGGGAACCGAGGUCGUCUUGGGCUGUCGCCUCUCCCUCUCCCAGAAGGAAUGAAGAGGUUCUUGGAAAGCAGGGACGGGCGAUUCUCUCUGUCAGCAUCAGCUCCCACCAGCGAGGACGGGGCGAGAAAGCGAAACGGGACUUUCCUUGCUGUCUAUUUUUUCUUCGUCAGGCCAACGCCGCUUGCUUGCAGGGGCGCAGGCGAGUUCCCGCCAAAUGGCGCGGGUGCGUGAGUUGCCGCCAAAUGCUAGCUCUGGAUGCCAGCUCGUUCCGCGUCUCAUGGUAGACUAGUUGGUGCAUUUCUGUUAUCAUGGACUGCGCAUAUAAACGCAAGCUACACAAAAGUGACAAGGACAAGAACAGCGCAAGCCCUUUACAUGCAGUGGAGCCGCCGUAUCUCGCCGUUCAAGAUAUGCGUACUCGUAAGUGGCAUUUUAAUUUCACGUUGUGUAAUGCAUGACUGUCUUUUUCAAGUGAACAAAGGUCGCUUUGUAUUGUGUAAAUGGUUUUGCAACGUAUGAUAAACUCCUUGUCUUUCGGGCUUAUUUUUUCUGACAGGAAGAAAAAAAAAAGAGGCUUUACAUGAGAACGGAUCAAGCGUUCGAGAGUUGGGACAGAGAAAUGUGAGACGUACUUUCAUGUAUAUAUUUCUAAUAUUAUUUUUUCGUCUUGUAUUCUCGUUAAUUUUUCUCUAGGAAACGCUGGAACGACACUGCUUAAAUUGAAGCACAGUACGUGUGCGAAUGACCUGCUACGCUCGGAACUGUUAUCACCAUUCGGGAAGAAAUUGGGUAAGAAUGGAUUGUGUGUGGCGCGCUUCACCGCAUGUGGACUAGAGUAGAUCUAGGAACAUCAGACAAGAAGACACGUAUGUGAAACCCUGCGGAUAGCCCAUAUGUGAACUUUUUUUCCAGAUACGGAGGAACGGACACCGGUCGUGCCGUGAGCACUAUUCUGCAGGGCAUACUUCCAAAUGAAGCUGCACUGCAGUUCAGCUGGAAAGGGUCGCAGGGGAGGAAGCACGCCUUCGUGAAGCUCAUGGCCAUCACGAAUAUAACAUCUGUGAGGAGCACGUUCCCUGACGCUUCACUAGCAUCAGUGGCUGGAGUCGCAAAACGCUGGUUGGUUGGAGCAGCUGACAGGGAUGGAGGCCGGAAUGAAAGAAGGCGCCGUGACCCUGCUUCAAGCCCACCAAAUAUGAACUAGUGUUUGAAACUUGUGAACGUGUCGGUGUACAUAUACAAUUACAAGAAAUAAAGACCUGUAUCAGAA